UGGGGAAUCUUGCACAAUGGGGGCAACCCUGAUGCAGCGACGCCGCGUGAGCGAUGAAGCCCUUCGGGGCGUAAAGCUCUUUCGACCGGAACGAUAAUGACGGUACCGGGAGAAGAAGCUGCGGCUAACUACGUGCCAGCAGCCGCGGUAAUACGUAGGCAGCAAGCGUUGUUCGGAGUUACUGGGCGUAAAGAGUGCGUAGGCGGUUUUCUAAGUUCGGUGUGAAAUCUCCCGGCUUAACUGGGAGGGUGCGCCGAAGACUGGGAAGCUGGAGUGUGGGAAAGGCAGGCGGAAUUCCUGGUGUAGUGGUGAAAUGCGUAGAUAUCAGGAGGAACACCGGCGGUGUAGACAGCUUGCUAGACCAUAACUGACGCUGAGGCACGAAAGCGUGGGUAGCAAACA
rnacentral:rRNA from 1 species